rnacentral:rRNA from 1 species
CCUACGGGAGGCUGCAGUGAGGAAUAUUGGUCAAUGGACGAGAGUCUGAACCAGCCAAGUAGCGUGAAGGAUGACUGCCCUAUGGGUUGUAAACUUCUUUUAUAUGGGAAUAAAUUGUUCAAGGGGUGGGUUUUUGAAUGUACCUUAUGAAUAAGGAUCGGCUAACUCCGUGCCAGCAGCCGCGGUAAUACGGAGGAUCCGAGCGUUAUCCGGAUUUAUGGGGUUUAAGGGGAGCGUAGGUGGAUUGUUAAGUCAGUUGUGAAAGUUUGCGGCUCAACCGUAAAAUUGCAGUUGAAACUGGCAGUCUUGAGUACAGUAGAGGUAGGCGGAAUUCGUGGUGUAGCGGUGAAAUGCUUAGAUAUCACGAAGAACUCCGAUUGCGAAGGCAGCUCACUGGACUGCAACUGACACUGAGGCUCGAAAGUGUGGGUAUCAAACAGGAUUAGAUACCCCUGUAGUC